UCAAAGGAAUUGACGGGGGCCCGCACAAGCGGCGGAGCAUGUGGAUUAAUUCGAUGCAACGCGAAGAACCUUACCUGGGUUUGACAUAUACCGGAAAGCCGUAGAGAUACGGCCCCCCUUGUGGUCGGUAUACAGGUGGUGCAUGGCUGUCGUCAGCUCGUGUCGUGAGAUGUUGGGUUAAGUCCCGCAACGAGCGCAACCCUUGUCCUGUGUUGCCAGCGCGUAAUGGCGGGGACUCGCAGGAGACUGCCGGGGUCAACUCGGAGGAAGGUGGGGACGACGUCAAGUCAUCAUGCCCCUUAUGUCCAGGGCUUCACACAUGCUACAAUGGCCGGUACAGAGGGCUGCGAUACCGUGAGGUGGAGCGAAUCCCUUAAAGCCGGUCUCAGUUCGGAUCGGGGUCUGCAACUCGACCCCGUGAAGUCGGAGUCGCUAGUAAUCGCAGAUCAGCAACG
rnacentral:rRNA from 1 species